UACGUAGGGGGCUAGCGUUGUCCGGAAUCAUUGGGCGUAAAGCGCGUGUAGGCGGUCCAGUAAGUCCGCUGUGAAAGUCGGGGGCUCAACCCUCGAAUGCCGGUGGAUACUGUCGGGCUAGAGUGCGGAAGAGGCGAGUGGAAUUCCUGGUGUAGCGGUGAAAUGCGCAGAUAUCAGGAGGAACACCAAUUGCGAAGGCAGCUCGCUGGGACGUAACUGACGCUGAGACGCGAAAGCGUGGGGAGCAAACAGG
rnacentral:rRNA from 1 species